AAGUGUUUGUGUCACCAUAAAAAGCUGAUAUUCAGUCGUGUUUUUUGAUAUUUUUGUUAUUUUGUAAUCGAGUACCUUUUUAAAGGUCUAAUGGCUCCCAUCAGGUGUUGUGUGCAGACGGUGGAAAAAUUCAACGAGUAAACAUAUAUUUAAUCCAAAUUAAAUACUCAUAUUUCUAUGUAAAAUGUCACAUUAUUGUAUAAAUAAAUAAUUAAGAAACAAAA